rnacentral:rRNA from 1 species
CAUGAAGCUGGAAUCGCUAGUAAUCGCGGAUCAGAAUGCCGCGGUGAAUACGUUCCCGGGUCUUGUACACACCGCCCGUCACACCAUGGGAGUUGGAAAUGCCCGAAGUCAGUGGCCCAACCGCAAGGAGGGAGCUGCCGAAGGCAGGUCCGGUAACCGGGGUGAAGUCGUAACAAGGUAGC